rnacentral:rRNA from 1 species
GACGAACGCUGGCGGCGUGCUUAACACAUGCAAGUCGAACGGAAAGGCCCCCUUGUGGGGUACUCGAGUGGCGAACGGGUGAGUAACACGUGAGUAACCUACCCUUGACUUUGGGAUAACUUCAGGAAACUGGGGCUAAUACCGGAUAGGAGCUCCUGCUGCAUGGUGGGGGUUGGAAAGUUUCGGCGGUUGGGGAUGGACUCGCGGCUUAUCAGCUUGUUGGUGGGGUAGUGGCUCACCAAGGCUUUGACGGGUAGCCGGCCUGAGAGGGUGACCGGCCACAUUGGGACUGAGAUACGGCCCAGACUCCUACGGGAGGCAGCAGUGGGGAAUAUUGCACAAUGGGCGGAAGCCUGAUGCAGCAACGCCGCGUGCGGGAUGACGGCCUUCGGGUUGUAAACCUCUUUCGCCUGUGACGAAGCGUGAGUGACGGUAAUGGGUAAAGAAGCACCGGCUAACUACGUG